rnacentral:rRNA from 1 species
AUUGAACGCUGGCGGCAGGCCUAACACAUGCGAGUCGAGCGGAUGAAGGGAGCUUGCUCCUGGAUUCAGCGGCGGACGGGUGAGUAAUGCCUAGGAAUCUGCCUGGUAGUGGGGGAUAACGUCCGGAAACGGGCGCUAAUACCGCAUACGUCCUGAGGGAGAAAGUGGGGGAUCUUCGGACCUCACGCUAUCAGAUGAGCCUAGGUCGGAUUAGCUAGUUGGUGGGGUAAAGGCCUACCAAGGCGACGAUCCGUAACUGGUCUGAGAGGAUGAUCAGUCACACUGGAACUGAGACACGGUCCAGACUCCUACGGGAGGCAGCAGUGGGGAAUAUUGGACAAUGGGCGAAAGCCUGAUCCAGCCAUGCCGCGUGUGUGAAGAAGGUCUUCGGGUUGUAAAGCACUUUAAGUUGGGAGGAAGGGCAGUAAGUUAAUACCUCGCUGUUUUGACGUUACCAACAGAAUAAGCACCGGCUAACUUCGUG